GAUGAACGCUGGCGGCGUGCCUAAUACAUGCAAGUCGAGCGAACGGACGCUAAGCUUGCUUCUCUGAUGUUAGCGGCGGACGGGUGAGUAACACGUGUAUCACCCACCUAUAAUACUGGUAUAACUUCGGGAAACCGGAUCUAAUACCGGAUAAUAUUCUGAACCGUGUUGUUCAAAAGUGAAAUACGGUCUUGCUGUCUCUUAUAGAUGGAUCUGCGCUGCAUUAGCUAGUUGGUAAGGUAACGGCUUACCAAGGCAACGAUGCAUAGCCGACCUGAGAGGGUGAUAGGCGACACUGGAACUGAGACACGGUCCAGACUCCUACGGGAGGCAGCAGUAGGGAAUCUGACGCAAUGGGCGAGAGCAUGGCGGAGCAACGCCGCGUGAGAGAUGAAGGUCUUCGGAUCGUAAAACUCUGUUAUUAGGGAAGAACAUAUGUGUAAGUAGAUGUGCACAUAUUGACGGUACCUAAUAAGAAAGCCACGGCUAACUACGUG
rnacentral:rRNA from 1 species